AUUGUACUCCCUCCGUUCCGAAUUACUUGUCGCAGAAAUGGAUGUAUCUAGAUGUAUUUUAGUUCUAGAUACAUCCAUUUCUGCGACGAGUAAUUUGGAACGGAGGGAGUAAAAA
rfam:Triticum urartu cultivar G1812 contig288769, whole genome shotgun sequence.